rnacentral:rRNA from 1 species
UACGUAGGGGGCAAGCGUUGUCCGGAUUUAUUGGGCGUAAAGAGCGUGUAGGCGGCUUUGCAAGUCCGUUGUGAAAACUCGAGGCUCAACCUCGAGACGCCGGUGGAAACUGCAAAGCUAGAGUCCGGAAGAGGAGAGUGGAAUUCCUGGUGUAGCGGUGAAAUGCGCAGAUAUCAGGAGGAACACCCGUGGCGAAAGCGGCUCUCUGGGACGGUACUGACGCUGAGGCACGAAAGCGUGGGUAGCAAACAGG